CCGCCUGUAGCUCAGUUGGCAGAGCGGUGGGACGUUACCCCACGGUCACGGGUUCAAGUCCCGGCGGUCGCU